rnacentral:rRNA from 1 species
GACGAACGCUGGCGGCGUGCCUAAUACAUGCAAGUUGAGCGCUGAAGGUUGGUACUUGUACCAACUGGAUGAGCAGCGAACGGGUGAGUAACGCGUGGGGAAUCUGCCUUUGAGCGGGGGACAACAUUUGGAAACGAAUGCUAAUACCGCAUAAAAACUUUAAACACAAGUUUUAAGUUUGAAAGAUGCAAUUGCAUCACUCAAAGAUGAUCCCGCGUUGUAUUAGCUAGUUGGUGAGGUAAAGGCUCACCAAGGCGAUGAUACAUAGCCGACCUGAGAGGGUGAUCGGCCACAUUGGGACUGAGACACGGCCCAAACUCCUACGGGAGGCAGCAGUAGGGAAUCUUCGGCAAUGGACGAAAGUCUGACCGAGCAACGCCGCGGGAGUGAAGAAGGGUUUCGGAUCGUAAAACUCUGUUGGUAGAGAAGAACGUUGGCGAGAGUGGAAAGCUCAUCAAGUGACGGUAACUACCCAGAAAGGGACGGCUAACUACGUG